GCCCCCAUCGUCUAGAGGUCUAGGACGCCGCCCUCUCACGGCGGUAACGCCGGUUCGAAUCCGACUGGGGGUA
rnacentral:tRNA from 2 species